UGGAAGAUGAAGGCUUUCUUCCUGGCUCUGCUGAUCACCAGCUGAGUGACUCCCAGGGUGGUGGUGGUGCUAUGGACUUAGCUGCAGCGGAGGUGAGGACCCUGAACAGUGGGUCCUUAGCUAAAGACAGCAGCAAAAGUAAAAACAGUCAGGUCCAAGUGCCUGACCAAACAUGCCUAGAUCUGCUCUGCAUGAAAACUACCCAUAACAACCAUCCUUAAGAAGGGGAGGAAGGAAGAUCUGGGGAGUUACAGACCAGUCAGCCUGAUCUCUAUACCUGGAAAAAUCAUGGAGCAGGUCCUCAAGGAAUCCAUUGUGAAGCACCUAGAGGAGAAGAAGGUCAUCAGGAACAGUCAGCGUGGAUUCACCAAGAACAAGCCCUGCCUGACCAAUCUGACUCUGUGGAUGAACGGACGGCAACGUCAUAGUAUGUCUUGACUUCAGAAAGGCUUUUGACAUUCUCUCAAGACAUUCUCAUUAUCAAGCUAAGGAUAUACAGACUAGACAAAAGUAAUGUAAGAUGAAUACAUAACUGGUUGGAUCAUCAUAGUAAGCAAGUAGUCCUUUAUGGCUUAAUAUCUAGUUGGGAGGAGUUAUAAAGUGGGGUUCCCUACA